AGACACAGAGGGAUGGUUAGAUCUGUACAAUCCACGCCUGGAACCUGGGAACCCUCACCCACUCCUGCCACUGCCUCUCUCAAGAAAAGGGAUAAAAGGCCCAAUUCAUUCAAACGAGAGACUGAUGUCGCAGUUCUACAUCUCUAACAAGUCCUGUUCUUCCAUCCUUCUCAUUGUGAAACAACUCCAUAUGGGGAAAAGGCAAGAGAACCUGUUCACCUCCUUCUUUGGUCAUACACUUUGCUUCUACUUCUCAUCAAUGUGUAU